UACGAAGGGUGCAAGCGUUACUCGGAAUUACUGGGCGUAAAGCGUGCGUAGGUGGUGAGUUAAGUCUGUCGUGAAAGCCCCGGGCUCAACCUGGGAAUGGCGAUGGAUACUGGCUCGCUAGAGUGCGGUAGAGGAGAGUGGAAUUCCCGGUGUAGCAGUGAAAUGCGUAGAGAUCGGGGAGGAACAUCAGUUGCGAAGGGCGGAGCUCGUCUGGACCAGCUCUGG
rnacentral:rRNA from 1 species